AUACGGAGGGUGCAAGCGUUGUUCGGAUUUAUUGGGCGUAAAGCGAGUGUAGGCGGUUUGACAAGUCGAAUGUGAAAUCCCGAGGCCCAACCUCGGAACUGCAUCCGAAACUGUCAAGCUAGAGUCCCGGAGAGGGUGGCGGAAUUCCCGGUGUAGGGGUGAAAUCCGUAGAUAUCGGGAGGAACACCAGUGGCGAAGGCGGCCACCUGGACGGUGACUGACGCUGAGACUCGAAAGUGUGGGUAGCAAACAGGAUUAGAAACCCUAGUAGUCC
rnacentral:rRNA from 1 species